GCACCUGACAAAUCACAGUGACUCAAGGGUAUGGUGAGACGCACAAUCGCUGCCGUAGUCGGCGGUUCCCAACAGAGGCUCCCAGCGGGUGGAGGUCAGGACCGACUUCUGUUUCGCCUGCGCCGUCGACACGAUGCAGCCGAGCGCGGCAGCUAGCCCCGCGUUCAUUCCCCCUAACACCCCUGCAGGUAGGGUCAAGAUCAGCGCAUGCUGUUGUGAUUUGCAGACUUCUCAGAUCUUGACAGGGGCAUUAGAAAGCAAGCUGCUGUCUGUUCAAGGCAUGCAACAAGCAGUGGCAAGUCUAGUCUACUGUGGUGAGGAAAUAUUAUGUCUGUCAUUGCUAGAUGGCCCCAUUAUGGGGCCAAUUGGCCAGGACUGCCCUACAAGCUUUGCAUGUUAUGUGAUGCAGUGCCCAAUUCAAAGGUCAUCUCAGGCCUUCAAGGGAGUCCAAAUCAAUCAAAAAAGUUGAUGAAUGUUAGACUUGAUAGAUGUCAGAGUCCCCUGAGGCCUUAGAGUCCAGAGAGACUAAGACAAGAGCAUGCUAGAGACCCUGAGCCAUUUGGGAGACCCUUCCGAAUGUUCAAAAUGAAGGGGAAUCUUAGGGUCUUGCCUGCAGUCAGGUUGUUGGGGUCGAAUCCGAAGCCGCGCAGGGUGAGGCCGAUGGGCGCCAGACUGGCAUAUAGGGUUUGCUGCUCGGGGUUGCGCGGAGGGUUUAUCGCUGUUAUCGCCCCCAGAAGCUCCCAGAAGGCCGACGCAUUCU
rnacentral:lncRNA from 1 species